UGGUGACGGCAGUGAUCAGAAGUGAGAAUGUUGACAUGAGUAGCGACAAACAGGGUGAGAGACCCUGUCGCCGAAAGUCCAAGGGUUCCUGCUUAAAGCUAAUCUGAGCAGGGUAAGCCGACCCCUAAGGCGAGGCCGAAAGGCGUAGUCGAUGGGAACCAGGUUAAUAUUCCUGGGCCAGGAGAUGGUGACGGAUCGCAGGGAUUGUUCGACCUUACUGGAUUGGUCGGGCAGUUGAGCGGUUCCUGGAAAUAGCCCUCCACAAGAUCGUACCCUAAACCGACACAGGUGGACUGGUAGAGAAUACCAAGGCGCUUGAGAGAACCACGUUUAAGGAACUCGGCAAAAUACCUCCGUAAGUUCGCGAGAAGGAGGCCCCGUUGGCGCGCAAGCGUUGGCGGGGGGCACAAACCAGGGGGUGGCGACUGUUUACUUAAAACACAGGGCUGUGCGAAGCCGUAAGGCGACGUAUACAGUCUGACGCCUGCCCGGUGCCGGAAGGUUAAAAGGAGAGGUGCAAGCCUUGAAUUGAAGCCCCGGUAAACGGCGGCCGUAACUAUAACGGUCCUAAGGUAGCGAAAUUCCUUGUCGGGUAAGUUCCGACCUGCACGAAUGGCGUAACGAUCUCCCCGCUGUCUCAAACGUGGACUCAGCGAAAUUGAAUUGUCUGUGAAGAUGCAGACUUCCCGCGGUUAGACGGAAAGACCCCAUGCACCUUUACUAUAGCUUCGCACUGGCAUCAGGAUUGCGAUGUGCAGGAUAGGCGGUAGACUUUGAAGCCGGGACGCCAGUUCCGGUGGAGUCAUCCUUGAGAUACCGCCCUUCGCACUCUUGAUGUCUAACCGCGGCCCGUUAUCCGGGUCCGGGACCCUGCGUGGUGGGUAGUUUGACUGGGGCGGUCGCCUCCCAAAGAGUAACGGAGGCGCGCGAAGGUUGGCUCAGAGCGGUCGGAAAUCGCUCGUUGAGUGCAAUGGCAGAAGCCAGCCUGACUGCAAGACUGACACGUCGAGCAGAGUCGAAAGACGGCCAUAGUGAUCCGGUGGUCCCGAGUGGAAGGGCCAUCGCUCAACGGAUAAAAGGUACGCUGGGGAUAACAGGCUGAUGAUGCCCAAGAGUCCAUAUCGACGGCAUCGUUUGGCACCUCGAUGUCGGCUCAUCUCAUCCUGGGGCUGGAGCAGGUCCCAAGGGUAUGGCUGUUCGCCAUUUAAAGAGGUACGUGAGCUGGGUUUAGAACGUCGUGAGACAGUUCGGUCCCUAUCUGCCGUGGGUGUAGGAUACUUGAGAGGAGUUGCCCCUAGUACGAGAGGACCGGGGUGAACGUUCCACUGGUGGACCAGUUGUCGUGCCAACGGCAGUGCUGGGUAGCUAUGAACGGACAGGAUAAACGCUGAAGGCAUCUAAGCGUGAAGCCCCCCUCAAAACAAGGUAUCCCUGAAGAGCCGUGGAAGACCACCACGUCGAUAGGCCGGAGAUGUACGCGCAGCAAUGCGUUCAGUUGACCGGUACUAAU
rnacentral:rRNA from 1 species